UGUCAUCUAAUGUGUGAGGUUUCGACAUAGAAUUAACACCUAUUUAUUUUUUUGCAAUUAUAAAAUAUAACUUAAACAAAGAAAAUAAAAAUAAUAUCAUCCAAGUUUAAAAAUAUUACAAUAUCAAAAAUAAAAUAAAAUUAAAGUUCAAAACUAAUCGAAAUCGGAUGUCGAUCGAUCGCCCUCUAUGACCUUGCCUUUACCACGAUCCACAGCAAUCUUAGUAGCCCUCCUACCCGAAGACUGGUUCAAGCUGGUUCGGCUCGAGCUAUGAAGUUUG
rnacentral:lncRNA from 1 species